AUCUACGGGCAUACCACCCUGAACAUGCCCAAUCUUGUCUGAUCCUGGAAGCUAAACAGGGUUGGGCCUGGUUAGUACUUGGGUGGGAGAAGCCUUACCUGUUCAUA
rnacentral:rRNA from 1 species